AUUGCAGACACUGGAAGACCUGAAUACUACAUCAGCACUCUGGAGACGCUGGAAGACGUGGAUGUUGAGCCCACUGAUGGAAGACUGAGUAGUUGUUGGAAGACUUGAAGAUGUUGGAAGACGUGAAGAUGCUGGAAGAUGCAGAUAUGCUGGAAGACAUGAUGACGCUGGAAGACGUAGAGAUGCUGGAAGACGAGCAGAUGCUGGAAGCCCUGGAGAUGCUGGAAGACCUGGAGGUGUAGGAAGACAUAGAUUUUUGGAAGACGUGGCUUAGUUGGAAGACAUGGCUGUGUUGGAAGACAUGGAUUUUCUGGAAGACACAGACUUGCUGGAAGACGUGGAUUUUCUGGAAGACAAAGCUUUGUUGGAAGACGAACCUUUGCUGGAAGACAUAGGUAGGCUGGAAGACAUGGCUUUGCUGGAAGACGUGGAUUUGCUGGAAGCUGUGGAUUUGCUGGAAGACGUAGAUUUUCUGGAAGAUGCAGAUAGGCUGGAAGACCUGGAGAUCAUUGGAAGACGUAGAUUUUCUGGAAGAUGCAGAUAGGCUGGAAGACCUGGAGAUCAUUGGAAGACGUAGAUUUUCUGGAAGACUUGGCUUUUUUGGAAGACAUGGAUUUUCAGGAAGACCCGAAUUGUCCGGAAGAUCUGGAUUAUUUGGAAGACGGUGGAUUUUCUGGAAGACUAGGAAGUUACUGGAAGACAUGGAUCUUUAGGAAGACCUAUUGGCUGGAAGACCUGGAAGUUAUUGGAAGACGUGAAUUUUCUGGAAGACGUUGGUUUAUUGGAAGACAUGUAUUGACUGGAAGACUUUAUUUGGUUGGAAGACACAGA